rnacentral:lncRNA from 1 species
GAGGUUCCUGCAACUUAUUCUUUUAUCUUUCAAUGCCCCUUGACAAUCAUUAUCCACCUGACCGUUUGCUUUUUUUUUCUACUUGAAUAUGGGUGGGAUCACACGUGAUUAUUAGAUGAGAUGUGAACCGUGAGAUGCAAUUCAAUCUAUCUAAGAAACCACGACCCUUCUUUUCUGUUCUCGGUUCAGGCAUUUCUUUGUAUUGCUUUUUUUC